UNUGACUUGAGUGCAGAAGGGGAGAGUGGAGUNCCAUGUGUAGCGGUGGAAUGCGUAGAUAUAUGGAGGAACACCAGUGGCGAAAGCGGCUCUCUGNUCUGUCACUGACGCUGAGGCUCGAAUGCGUGGGUAGCGAACAGGAUUAGAUACCCUGGUAGUNCACGCCGUAAACGAUGAGUGCUAGUGUUAGGCCCUUUCCGGGGCUUAGUGCCGGAGCUAACGCAACAAGCACUCCGCCUGGGGAGUACGACCGCAAGGUUGAAACUCAAAGGAAUUGACGGGGGCCCGCACAAGCGGUGGAGCAUGUGGUUUAAUUCGAAGCAACGCGAAGAACCUUACCAGGUCUUGACAUCCCGAUGCUAUUCUUAGAGAUAGGAAGUUACUUCGGUACAUCGGAGACAGGUGGUGCAUGGUUGUCGUCAGCUCGUGUCGUGAGAUGUUGGGUUAAGUCCCGCAACGAGCGCAACCCUUAUUGUUGGUUGCCAUCAUUAAGUUGGGCACUCUAGCGAGACUGCCGGUAAUAAACCGGAGGAAGGUGGGGAUGACGUCAAAUCAUCAUGCCCCUUAUGACCUGGGCUACACACGUGCUACAAUGGUCGGUACAACGAGUUGCGAGCCGGUGACGGCAAGCUAAUCUCUGAAAGCCGAUCUCAGUUCGGAUUGGAGGCUGCAACUCGCCUCCAUGAAGUCGGAAUCGCUAGUAAUCGCGGAUCAGCACGCCGCGGUGAAUACGUUCCCGGGCCUUGUACACACCGCCCGUCACACCACGAGAGUUUGUAACACCCGAAGUCGGUGAGGUAACCUUUUAGG
rnacentral:rRNA from 1 species